UGGAAGCGUGGAUUUUAAAAAAAAAUCCUACGCUGUAAAUCAGGGGUCCCCACCCUCCAGGAUCUAAUGACUAAUGAUCUGAAGUGGAACUGAUGUAAUAAUACUAGAAAUAAAGUGCACAAUGAAUGUAAUGCACUUGAAUCAUCCAGAAAGCAUCACCCUACCCCACCCCAGUCCCUGGAAAAAUUGUCUUCCA